AUGUAAUGUAAUGCCUAAACCAUUAAUGCACUGGAUCCCAUUAGAACUCCACAGUUAAGCGUGCUUGGGCUAGAGUAUUACUAGGAUGAGUGACCUCUUUGGAAGUCCUAGUGUUUUACAUG
rfam:Picea glauca, whole genome shotgun sequence.